rnacentral:rRNA from 1 species
GACGAACGCUGGCGGCGUGCUUAACACAUGCAAGUCGAACGGAAAGGCCUCAGCUUGCUGGGGUCCUCGAGUGGCGAACGGGUGAGUAACACGUGGGUGAUCUGCCUUGCACUCUGGGAUAAGCUUGGGAAACUGGGUCUAAUACCGGAUAUGAACUGCCUUUAGUGUGGUGGUUGGAAAGUUUUUUCGGUGCAAGAUGAGCUCGCGGCCUAUCAGCUUGUUGGUGGGGUAAUGGCCUACCAAGGCGUCGACGGGUAGCCGGCCUGAGAGGGUGUACGGCCACAUUGGGACUGAGAUACGGCCCAGACUCCUACGGGAGGCAGCAGUGGGGAAUAUUGCACAAUGGGCGGAAGCCUGAUGCAGCGACGCCGCGUGGGGGAUGACGGCCUUCGGGUUGUAAACGCCUUUCGACAGGGACGAAGCUUUUUGUGACGGUACCUGUAUAAGAAGCACCGGCUAACUACGUG